AUCCUCGGUUGCUGGCGUGGCCUUUAUACCUUGGGAGGAGAUCGUUCUAUCUUUUCUUAUUCCUCUUUGUUUCUUUACCGUAUACACUAAGUAUUCCCCAAUGACCCAAGUACCGUGGGGAAAGGUGAAAAAAACCCUAUUUAGGGAGCACAAUAUAGAACCUAACAUCCGAUGCGAACAAUCAAUUGAAAGGGCGGAUCUUAGAGGCUUUACUAUUCUGUUAGUGAAGCGCACUCACUCUAACGGCGUACCUUUUGCAUGAUGGGUUAGUGAGUAAAUGGGAACAACGGCUUCAACCAAUAGGUGUAGGCGCUUUCCAGAGGUGGAUUCUUCUAGUUCCUCCUAUUUGACCCCAAAUCGAUUGAUCUAGCCCUAAGCAAGUUGAAGAGGUGUCUAACAGGCCUUGGAGGACUGAACCCAGGUAUGUGGCAAAAUAUAGGGAUAAUUUGUGGCUAGGGGCGAAAGGCCAACCGAAAUUGGAUAUAGCUAGUUUUCUGCAAAAUCUAUUUCAGUAGAGCAUAUCAUGUCGAUGGCCCGAGGUAGAGCACUCAAUGGGCAAGGGUGGCCCCAUUUCACCUUACCAAUCCCUGGGAAACGCCAAAUACUGGCCUAAAUCGUCUGUACAAACAGACUUUUGGGGUUCUAAGAUCCAAAGUUAAGUGGGAAACAAUCCAGACCAUACACUAAGGUCCUGAAGCAAUCACUUAGUGGAAAAGGAAGUGAUCGAGCGAUGACAACCAGGAGGUGGGCUUGGAAGCAGCCAUCCUUUAAAGAAAGCGUAAUAAGUCACUGGUUUAGCUCCAUGGCACCGAAAUAUAUAUCUAGGCUCAAGUGAUUCACCCUACAAAUAUAUAUCUGUAGCGGGACGUUCUGUCAAUCGAGGAAGGUUUUUGGUGACAACACUUGGAGAUAUCAGAAUUGAGAAUGCUAACAUGAGUAACGAGAAAUCCUAUGAAUCGAUCCCUAAGGAACCCCCGAAAGCACUUCCAUUCGAUGGGUACACAAAAAUGACGAAGUAGCUUUGACUACGAAACGAUGCCUGUCUAUCAGAGCGAAUUGGCUGAUCGGGCCGAGCGAUGGCCCCAUUUCCCCUCACUCUCCUUUCCAUAAGAAUAACAUUGAGUCAUCAAAUCUUUUCCGACUCGGCCUAGCUCGUUCGCCCUAUGCUACUAGCGCCUCAAAAGGUGGAACUCUCGUCGUAGUUUAGUAACCUAAGGGGCAGGCACUGAUUGUUAUCUAAAGGCGACGACUCUAAAUUGGGCGAACACUCGGCCUAGAGGUAAAACAUGCCGCGCUCCAUCUCCACGCACCUAUUGAAGCACUUUCUAGUGUGCUCUAACAUUUAAGAAUGUGUUGUUCAGCCUCACGAGUCUACAAGCCUUUCUCAUUUUAGUGCUCGCCUUUCGAAUGUUCAACAUGGGCCUUUAGUCUUUAGAUUAGAGUACAAGUCGCGAGAGAGUUGAGGGUGCUGCCCUGCCAUAGUCGCGACUUUUUUCAUAGUCAACGAGGUUGAAACUUCCAGGAAAAAACUUCGAAUUGGCAGGGCAAUCAUCUUGGUGAACUGACCACAGCCGAAACCUGCACAACUCAACAAGUAGAGUAUACUAGGGCGCUUGAGAGAACCAUAUCGCAGGAAGUCAGCAAAAUGACCCCGUAAGUUUUGGAGAAGGGUUGCCCUCUUGUCUUUUGAUUAGGAAAGCAACACAUAACCAGGGGUAGUGACUGUUUAUUGAAAACACGGGACUCUGCUAAGUGGUGACACGAUGUAUGGGCUAUAACACUUGCUUGGUGCUGGAAGGUCGGAAAGAGAAGUGUUAUAAGCUUUGAAUGGAAGCCAACAUAAACAGUGGCAGUAACUUUAACUAUCCUAAGGUAGCGAAAUUCCUGGUCAUAUAAGUAGUGACCUGCACAAAUGGUGUAACGACUGCCCUGUUGCCUUCAACAUAAACCCAGUGAAAUUGAAUUCUUUGUGAAGAUGCGGUGUACCAACGGCUAGACGGGAACACUGGCAUCUUAACAAAUGUUUUGCAUUGAUAACCAUGAUUCAAUGUGUAGGAUAGGUGGGAGGUGGUGACACACAACGACCAAUCCUAAAAGACCACAUGUUUGUCUAAGGAUGCCUAAUCGCCGCAGCAAGAAUUCGGGUGGGGGGGCGGGACACUACGAGGUGGGUACUUUAUCUAGGGCGCAUGGCUGUAAUGGUAUCAGCUAGCCUGACUGUAAUACCAACUGGUCAAACAUAGAUGAAAGUCGACCAUAGUGAUCCGGAAGUCCCGUGUCGAAGGGCUCACGCUCAACGGUUCAACGGCACGCCAGGAAUAACAGGCUAAUAACUCCCAAGAGCUCUUAUCUAUGGAGUCAUUUGUGACGCGUGAUGAGGUGAGUGAUUCAAGAACGGAAUAAGAAAAGAUAAAAGCAAUCUCCUUCCAAGGUAUAAAGGCAGCGCCACCAACCGAGGAUGA
rnacentral:ncRNA from 1 species